GCGACCCCUGUGAGGAAAAGCGGAUCAGAAAAUGAAUGGAUGGAUCGAUGGAUGGUGGCUCCAAAAGCAACUGAGCCAAUGCCGGAUUAUUUAUACCCAAUGCUGAAGAUUUGACCUGGCACAUCCGGUCAAGAUUUUCAUCCAACAAGGGGUACUACCCAAACUGAUGAGUUGGACCUUCCAAGAAGAGGUUUUACCAGGUUAUGAGUAAAGCCGUGGUUAAGAAUAAUACAAAUUGUAUUCACAACAUUUUCUAAAAAGAAGAAGCGGCUUUCGCCAAGUCUGACGGCAAACAAGUUAAGACUGAAUCAACAGCCAGUCGGCUGUCAGCAGCCAUACAGUCCAUUUUGCCUCAAACCAAAAUGUAUUCAACACAAAAAAAAAACCCAUUAUUAACCCUUUCAUGCACCUUGCAACCUGAUAACAUGAUAAGAUGUCCACUGUAGUAACCGCUGUCCCUGAAAGGGUUAACUUCCAUUUCAUUGAUUACCAAUCCUAAUUCUUUUUUAUUUUAUAAGAUUUAAGACCAGCUAAGACCAAUGUCCUAGGUUUAUGUUUCACUUCCACAUGUCUGUGUAUCAUUUUGAAAACUUUCUUUCUCUCAGCUUUUUUUUUUUAAAUAAUAAACUGAGAUAAGGACCAAUAUGUCGAACAACUAUCAUAACACUGUCUAGAGUGUUUACUGUUGAGUAUGCUUAAGAAAUCUGAUAGUUAAUAAAUUGCCAAGAUUGUGUAACGCUGCAGACCGCUACUGCCCCCUGGGGCUCAAUCAUUUUGUUAUGGUUUUGUCUGCAGCUUUCCAAGUGUUUCUCCAAGCAUUUCAGUCAAAUUGGUUCUCCUAAGUUUAACAGUGUUCACAUUUGUUUGACUAACGUGUGUCGAGUUGUUUGAUUUGGUCAUCAUUGCUAAUUGUGAGGUCAAAUUCAUGUAUUCUCAUGAUGGAUGUUCUGCGAUGACAUAAAAUAAAAGUCAAUUCGCAAGUGAUUUUUUUUUUCUCCAUAUAACUCAAACAUGGGAUAGAAGAGGGGAGAUGGAAACCACCUAGGCCGGUAAUACAAUGAACGUCUAAAAUAUAUUAAGUGUCAAGUUCAGCAAUACUUUAUUGUCCAAGAUUAUUUUGAGCACAGAAACGUGUUGAAAUUGUGUUUGUUUUUUGUAAAUAAUCACAAUGCAGUUCAUAAUACGUAAACAUUUUGCAUACCAGAAAGUAUAAUGCAUAAAGCUGCUGGCACAUACCUGUACCAUGCAUUUAGAAGUUUCUUGAGCCAAAAUUGUCACGCUUGUCAUAGAAAAUGAAAUAUUCCAGCUUUUUUUUUUUAAUGCACAAUUUAUCUUAGUGGUUUAAUGAUGGGCACUUCAAAGUGAAUUAACAUUGUUGUCAUCGAUUAUUGUACAAUGUUUCAUUUACUUAACCACUAACGAAUUAAUAAAAGCUAAUUUGUUCA